AUUGAACGCUGGCGGCAUGCCUUACACAUGCAAGUCGAACGGCAGCAUGGUCUAGCUUGCUAGAUUGAUGGCGAGUGGCGAACGGGUGAGUAAUACAUCGGAACGUGCCCUGUAGCGGGGGAUAACUAGUUGAAAGAUUAGCUAAUACCGCAUACGACCUGAGGGUGAAAGUGGGGGACCGCAAGGCCUCAUGCUAUAGGAGCGGCCGAUGUCUGAUUAGCUAGUUGGUGAGGUAAAGGCUCACCAAGGCGACGAUCAGUAGCUGGUCUGAGAGGACGAUCAGCCACACUGGGACUGAGACACGGCCCAGACUCCUACGGGAGGCAGCAGUGGGGAAUUUUGGACAAUGGGGGCAACCCUGAUCCAGCAAUGCCGCGUGUGUGAAGAAGGCCUUCGGGUUGUAAAGCACUUUUGUCCGGAAAGAAAUCGCACUUGCUAAUAUUAGGUGUGGAUGACGGUACCGGAAGAAUAAGGACCGGCUAACUACGUGCCAGCCGCCGCGGUAACAC
rnacentral:rRNA from 1 species